GUGCUCACUUUGGCAGAACAUAUACCAAAAUUGGAACAAUCCAGAAAAGAUUAGCUUGGUCCCUAUGCAAGAUGACACAUAAAUUCCUGAAACGUUCUAUAUUUUU
rnacentral:snRNA from 1 species